rnacentral:piRNA from 1 species
CAGAGAUAAAGCAAGAAAGGCUCUGGA